rnacentral:rRNA from 1 species
UACGGGGGGGGCAAGCGUUGUUCGGAAUUACUGGGCGUAAAGGGCUCGUAGGUGGCCAACUAAGUCAGACGUGAAAUCCCUCGGCUUAACCGGGGAACUGCGUCUGAUACUGGAUGGCUAGAGUUUGGGAGAGGGAUGCGGAAUUCUAGGUGUAGCGGUGAAAUGCGUAGAUAUCUGGAGGAACACCGGUGGCGAAGGCGGCAUCCUGGACCAACACUGACGCUGAGGAGCGAAAGCCAGGGGAGCAAAGCGGG